rnacentral:tRNA from 1 species
AAGUAAGAAGCAAAAAAUUGCACUUAGUUUCGACCUAAAUUUAUGAUAUACACAUAUCCUUACUU